CUCCCGGCAGACGGGCCGGGGCCACCGGCAGCCUCCGCGGUGAGCAGGCGGCCUGCACCGGCCCGCUCCCUCAGCAGCCUGAGGGCAGCUCCCGGCCGGGCGGCUGGCGGAGGGUGCAGGAAGGUGCCCGGCAGCCUGACCAGAGCGAUCCCGCCGGCGCGGCCGAGGGCUCCAGGGACGGGCAGGAGCGGCGCCGGUGCUCCCCCAGCCUCCGCCUGCUCUGCUGGGCCUGCUGGAGGAAGGAGCCAGGAGGGGAACGUGGUUCUCGUCUCCGUUGCUCCCUGGGCACACGUCCUCCCACACUGCUCCGGUAGAAGGAGAAAUGCAAGACUUUCCACGUAUCAAAAGUGAGACUUGAACAGGAGCUGCCGCAGGACGGGCUGAGGCUCUGGGUGUUCGUGGUCAGUGCGUCCCCGUUCGCUGGAGUCUUCUCGUUCCACGGGUGUCAAGUGCCAGUGGGAGCUCAGGCUGAGCCUCCCUGAGCACCAACACGGCAGCGUCUGUGACACGGGAGAGAUUAAACCGUUCUGUGUACAGGAGAAGCUGUGAUGAUCUGCACAAGGAUGGUGCAGGGCUCCUCUGCACCCCAACAAGUCCUGCAACCACCCCGAGGGCCCUGCUGCUCCGGAGUUUUCCAACAAGGGCACCCCUUUAUAUCUGAGCCUGCUCGCACUGCACAGAAGUCCGUGAAUGUCAACUUCCACUAUUCUGCAGGAAACAAAUGUCUUUUUGUCACGAGCACAGUGUUCUGCAAUAAUAACCAAGGUACAAAGCCGUACAUUUAGUGUGUGACAUGCUUGUAAGCCUGCGAAUCUGCAGAUCCUGUGUACCUGUCAGGGCACCCAACUUUUGCCAAAAUAAUUCAGAAUAUUGCUGCAUUAAAAUGGGUGAUGUUGUUUUUCAUUCACAGACAACUCGUAGUUUGAGUUUUACUUAGUUGAGUUCGUCACUGAAAAUCAAAGUAAUGCACCUUUCUCUAGACCAGAAAAACAGUGAGAUCCUGCCUCAAGGAACUUGCAAUAUAGCAGCAAAACCAUCUAAAGGAGGAUGUGUUCUUAGUCAUUGCACAUUGUGUGGAAAUACUCGGUACCCAGUAGUGAUUACACUGGAAUACGUGGAAAAUCACACCGUGAAAACGCAAAUUCUUUACCUAUCCUGACGUGGCCUCCAGCAAGGCCUUCUAUAGUAAAUUCCCACCAGUGUUUCGCUGAUGAUUUCUGGUUUAUCUGCCCAGAAACCCAUUUCAGAAGCUCCCUCAAGUGGUCCUGUUCUGCUGAGCCCGUACGUCGCGUUAUGAGCAGGAACGGCCCAACAGUCCAAAGGGCACAGCAUCAACGCCAUCGCACCGGUCAGCGUCAUUAAAUGAGCCGUCCAUUGAGGAGGUUGAUGAUUAAGAAUUAUGUUAAAAACGUUUCUACUUUCUUCUUUUCUUCAUCGCAGCUUUCACAGCCAGAUGGGGAAUCCUCACGUGGAAACUCGGAGCCUGACAGGGCUGGAAAUAUCCUUCAAGGCCUCAUAAAACAUUAAAGAUGUUUGUGCAGCUGUUGUUUGCUCCUGCUGCUCUGUACGUAUGCCAGCCAUAACAUCGCAAUUUUGUCAUUCGCACCAGCGGCAGCUUUGUGUUGCUGUAAAUUUUGUGUUUUCUUGUGUUAUUCAGGUUUUAAUUAAGCAAUCUUGCCCCUAAGAUGGGUCUCAGAUCUCCAAAAAUUGAGGCCGUGGGCACUAUAUGGAACUUUGAUGCCUUUAUCUUGUAACAGCACAUUUGCAAUCUCAUAAUUUCAUUUAUCACUGUAAACACUAUUUUAUUUAAAGCUGUAAUGGCAAUUAGAAAGCAUUAUCCUAUUAAAUUGUAUGUCAGUUUUUAAAGGAACAAUCUCAUUUUGCUGAAAUAUGUUGCCUGCUGCAGCAUUUAACAUUAAAAUAGAUCAGUCUGAAUGUUUCAUGAUAAUGUGGAAUUGUAGAAACAUGAAGCCGGGUCUCCUGGUGAAAACGCCUGAAAAUGAUGCAGCAGGAAUGACAUCAGGCUCCCACAGGCUCGCUAUUUCUUGCGGUGUCGGAACAUGAAAAAAACCUCAAUGCAAAGAGGGUAAUACUGGAAGCCACUUGCCAACAUGGUUCUUACAAGGCAGGAAAGCGAAGUGUGAAUUACUGACGGGGCUGCUGUGAGGACAAACGGUUAUAACCGGCCGCGAACAAACACCAGCCAGAACCGCCAGGCUGCAAAGGAGGGAGAUCGCUGCAGGUUUUCCACAGCGCAAACCAGCGAGGGCGGCAGGACCCGCCGGAGCCGUUUCUCCUCAGCAGCGGCGGGAGGGGCGUCCAGGCUGGACAGGCGCCUCUGGGAGCCUCCAGACAGCACCGCUACCAAUAGAAGCACACGGAACAAGCAACGAACUUGUGCAAGAGAAGGUGGUGAAAGCAGUAGCGGAGAUACAACUGCCUCUGUGAAGGUGCCCAGAGGCGCUGGACAGAGAACCUGUUUACGGGAGGAGCUUUCCCCGCAAGAUCAAUUGCUGUAUCAGGUGUUUGGUUUCCAACAUACUUAUCACAUUUUUUAACGUAGUUGCAAUGUUUUUUCCAACAAUAGCUGACCUAGCCGUUGAACUUAUUCCAUGCUGUUCAUCUUGUGCGUAACUAUGUUAGUCUGAUUUGUCAAAUAUACAUUUAUGGGCUUACAUGCAAGGUUUUGUAUUAGUCAGGUUUUUUCUGUGGGUAAAUACUGUUUUCAGUGCCGUGCAGGUGAUGCAAUAGAUUGUUUCUGUUAUUAUUUUGUGAGUUCUUGAAAAUAUUGUUUUGCUUUUAGUUACAAAAUUGUACAUUAAGAUUUGAAAUCCAAAUGAAAUCUGCUGCCCAGGGGGGUUGUGGAGUCUCCUUCUCUACAGACAUUCAAAACCCGCCUGGACAUGUUCCUGUGCGACCUCACCUGGGCGUUCCUGCUCCAUGGGGGAUUGGACUGGAUGAUCUUUUGAGGUCCCUUCCAAUCCCAAACAUACUGUGAUACUGUGAUAAUGUUUCCAAGGAGAUCCAAUUUUGUUCUUCCCAUUCUCACUAUAAGCAAAAGCAGCUAAAAAGAAGAAACAAAAUAAAAGGUAAGGAAUGGACUUGGGUGCUUCUUUGCUAGAAAAUAAUUGUGAUUUCUUAUGAGCUUUAAAAUGAAGUCGUAUCCAUUAUGAUGACAAACAAUGUGGUGUCACUGUCCAUGAAUUCAUCGUCUUCUCGUUACAUUUCUAUGUGGGAUUUGCAGUUGCAUCUUUGCAGCUGAAAUGGUGACUGUGUUUCCUUCCUGUCUCAAGGAGCAUUGUCAUGUUUCUGUGGGCUUUUAAAAUAGCUCCUGUACGUUACUCCAUUGGUUGGCAGAAUUUUGAUAAGGAAUAAGUAUGUGCAUCUUGUGACAAUACAUUCUGGUUAGAAAUUCCUAAGCGGUUGUUACUGCCGGGGUGGCUGUCAUGAGCAACAUGUUUUAUGUCUCAGAUUGGAAAUGAUGAAGGAAAAAAUACCUGACUUCAGUGCAAGCUCUGGGUGCGUUUCAAUGGGUUUGUGUUUAGGAUUCGGGGAGCAGUGCUAGAAUCCUACCACCAAAAUAAAAACUGUGAUAGCAGAUGGGGAAAGAAGUUCUUUUCUUGCGUAGGCCCAUAAAACUGGAGCAGGUGAGCGAUGGAAAAACGCCAGUAAAUAACAUAAAUACCCACGGACACCCCAAAGGCUCAGUCUGAAUGGCAGAGGUGAUAUAUUCUGCUCAUCUGUGUGCGUCUGGCGGGGAAUUUCUUGUGUGAUCACUGCAGCUCAGAAGAUUACGGGGCGGCUGUGACAUCCUGCGCGAACCCACUUGUUUGAGAUCUUUAACACCCUUCUGAACCAAGCUCGUUGUUCCCUUGUCCAGCCCUCCAGCUCGUCUGUGGGUGCUUUAUGGGUGCUGAGUGAGCGGCGUCUGUUUUGGUGGUAAAAUAGCAAAGAUGAACCCAGGCUGUGAGAUCCCUGCUGGAAAGGGGAUUCGGGAGCUUUGGAGCCAACGUGCUGCCUGGAGCACAGGUGGGAAAGCGCAGGUACCACCAGUUCAGGAGGACACGACUCAGAGACGUGGCCCGCGUUGUAGUUAUUAUUACAUUUCUGUAACACCAGAAUUGUGCUGAUGUUGCUCCCUUAUUAAUAAAGGGGUUAAUCAGAGUGAGUGAAUAUUUCAAGCUGCUUGUUUUAACAGCCCAUGAAAUCGCUCAGUGCAGAGCUCCAGCCCUCGCCUGUUCUGUUUGUUCAGUCGUUCUUCGCUUGCCAUGCGGUAGGAAAGGUCAUUUACAUAUCAUUACUUUUUCAUUUUUCACAUUUAAACUUUGCCUGACUGUGCUGUUGCUUUGCAAACACUAAAAUCCUGCAGUUAUUUGCAUUAAAUAUGAUGAAAGAGAAUCGAGUAUGAGACUGAAUUAAAAUCGCUGUAGCCUGUCUUGCCUGAAACCUCUGGGCUCAGUGCGGAACUUUGGUUUAAAAGCCUUCAGCUUGGACACUGAGUUCUCGAUUUCUCAUUUUCAAAGUAGCUGAGCUUUAGGUGGGUGAGUGCAAUAUAGGUGUCGCUGCCAUGUGUGGUGGUGAUAAUCUCCUAAAUAACUUUAAAUUCCAGAUUCCAUACUGUGUGUGGGAAGAACUGCAG